UGGUCUCAGUUCGGAUCGUAGGCUGCAACCCGCCUGCGUGAAGUUGGAAUUGCUAGUAAUCGCGGAUCAGCAUGCCGCGGUGAAUACGUUCCCGGGCCUUGUACACACCGCCCGUCACACCAUGAGAGUCGGGAACACCCGAAGUCCGUAGUCUAACUUUCACGAGAGGACGCGGCCGAAGGUGGGUUCGAUAAUUGGGGUGAAGUCGUAACAAGGUAAC
rnacentral:rRNA from 1 species